CCUACGGGUGGCUGCAGUGAGGAAUAUUGGUCAAUGGCCGAGAGUCUGAACCAGCCAAGUCGCGUGAGGGAUGAAUGUCCUAUGGAUUGUAAACCUCUUUUGUCAGGGAGUAAAGUCACCCACGUGUGCGUGUUGGUAUGUACCUGAUGAAAAAGCAUCGGCUAACUCCGUGCCAGCAGCCGCGGUAAUACGGAGGAUGCGAGCGUUAUCCGGAUUUAUUGGGUUUAAGGGGUGCGUGGGCGGGUUAUCAAGUCAGCGGGAAAAUCUUGGGGUACAACGCCAUACGGCCGUUGAAACUGAUGAUCUUGAGUGGGCGAGAGGUAGGCGGAAUGCGUGGUGUAGCGGUGAAAUGCAUAGAUAUCACGAAGAACUCCGAUUGCGAAGGCAGCAUACCGGAGCGCGACUGACGCUGAAGCACGAAAGCGUGGGUAUCGAACAGGAUUAGAUACCCUUGUAGUC
rnacentral:rRNA from 1 species